CAAGUACUCCCUCCGUCCGGAAAAGCUUGUCCCAAGUUUGUUCCUCAAAUAGAUGUAUCUAACACUAACUUGAUGCUAGAUACAUUCAUUUGAUGGACAAGUUUUUCCGGACGGAGGGAGUAGGAU
rnacentral:pre_miRNA from 1 species